UACAGAGGUCUCAAGCGUUGUUCGGAUUCAUUGGGCGUAAAGGGUGCGUAGGCGGCGCGGUAAGUCGGGUGUGAAAUCUCGGAGCUUAACUCCGAAACUGCAUUCGAUACUGCCGUGCUUGAGGACUGGAGAGGAGACUGGAAUUUACGGUGUAGCGGUGAAACGCGUAGAUAUCGUAAGGAAGACCAGUGGCGAAGGCGGGUCUCUGGACAGUUCCUGACGCUGAGGCACGAAGGUCAGGGGAGCAAACGGA
rnacentral:rRNA from 1 species